rnacentral:rRNA from 1 species
AGGACGAACGCUGGCGGCGCGCUUAACACAUGCAAGUCGAGCGGUAAGGCCUUUCGGGGUACACGAGCGGCGAACGGGUGAGUAACACGUGGGUGAUCUGCCCUGCACUCUGGGAUAAGCUUGGGAAACUGGGUCUAAUACCGGAUAUGACCACAGUGCGCAUGUGUUGUGGUGGAAAGAUUUAUCGGUGCAGGAUGGGCCCGCGGCCUAUCAGCUUGUUGGUGGGGUAAUGGCCUACCAAGGCGACGACGGGUAGCCGACCUGAGAGGGUGACCGGCCACACUGGGACUGAGACACGGCCCAGACUCCUACGGGAGGCAGCAGUGGGGAAUAUUGCACAAUGGGCGAAGCCUGAUGCAGCGACGCCGCGUGAGGGAUGAAGGCCUUCGGGUGUAAACCUCUUUCGAGCAGGACGAAGCGUGAGUGACGGUACCUGCAGAAGAGCACCGGACUAACGUACGUCGACCGAGACCGAAGCCCGGACGGUUAAUCCGUAGAGUCCGGGACG